UGGGGAAUUUUGCACAAUGGGCGCAAGCCUGAUGCAGCCAUGCCGCGUGUAUGAAGAAGGCCUUCGGGUUGGAAAGUACUUUCAGUCGGGAGGAAGGUGGUAAGGUGAAUAACCUUAUCAAUUGACGUUACCGACAGAAGAAGCACCGGCUAACUCCGUGCCAGCAGCCGCGGUAAUACGGAGGGUGCAAGCGUUAAGCGGAAUUACUGGGCGUAAAGCGCACGCAGGCGGUUGAUUGAGUCAGAUGUGAAAUCCCCGGGCUUAACCCGGGAAUUGCAUCUGAUAUUGGUCAGCUAGAGUCUUGGAGAGGGGGGUAGAAUUCCAUGUGUGGCGGGGAAAUGCGUGGAGAUGUGGAGAAAUACCGGUGGCGAAGGCGGCCCCCUGGACAAAGACGGACGCUCAGGUGCGAAAGCGUGGGGGGCAAACAGG
rnacentral:rRNA from 1 species